AUUGAACGCUGGCGGCAUGCUUUACACAUGCAAGUCGAACGGUAACAGGCCGCAAGGUGCUGACGAGUGGCGAACGGGUGAGUAAUGCAUCGGAACGUGCCCAGUCGUGGGGGAUAACGCAGCGAAAGCUGUGCUAAUACCGCAUACGAUCUAUGGAUGAAAGCGGGGGACCGUAAGGCCUCGCGCGAUUGGAGCGGCCGAUGUCAGAUUAGGUAGUUGGUGGGGUAAAGGCUCACCAAGCCAACGAUCUGUAGCUGGUCGGAGAGGACGACCAGCCACACUGGGACUGAGACACGGCCCAGACUCCGAUGGGAGGCAGCAGUGGGGAAUUUUGGACAAUGGGCGUAAGCCUGAUCCAGCAAUGCCGCGUGCAGGAAGAUGGCCUUCGGGUUGUAAUCUGCUGUUGUACGGAACGAAAAAGUUUGGGUUAAUACCCUGGGCCGAUGACGGUACCGUAAGAAUAAGCACCGGCUAACUACGUGCCAGCAGCCGCGGUAA
rnacentral:rRNA from 1 species